AACGUGUUGCUGAGCUGCAUGACUGGUGGAAGUCAUCGGUGUCACUGUUGAAACUUAGCAGUGAUGGUGAUGAGGAGAACAUUACUCAGAAAGACAGCGAGGUAGUGAUCUCAGCACCCCUACCAGAUCAUGUUAGUGAAUAUUCACAGGUGGGGACACUUCAGACUCAAUUAGGUGUUGCUGGUACAGCACCAUAGAAGAUCCAGAGGAAGAGAGACCUCAACUUGAAGAAGAAAUACUUGAAGACAAGGAACAGGAUGAUCCAGAGCUCGAAAAACCAAGUGAUCAACUUGAAGACUCAUCAUCUACUACUCUUGAAGAAGCAAAAUAAGUUGUUGUAGAUGAACUUGAAGAACCAGAAAUUCAUUUGCCAAUUUUCAUACAAGAGCGUGAUGUAGCAGGUUUAUCUAAUCCUCUUGAUGACAUGCGUCCCUAUGACUUAUUUGCUUCUACCUUGCAUUACAUGAUACCGUGAAUUAAGGUAGAUUUGAGAAAGUAUUUGCUUGGAUAUGAUGAUAUAUACCCUGUUCAUGGCAUUGCCCACAUUUGUUACGAUUACACUUAUUUUCCUCAUGCUAGACCCAUGCUUAAUGAAACAUGUCAUUCUCAUGGUAGCCUGGAGCUUAAUGAUUCAUAUCAUCUUCAUGCUAGCAUUGAGCUUACUGAUUUCUACCAUCCUAAACAUGUGCUUUAUAGCUAUUCUUAUGUAAUUGGGUACUCUAUUGAUGAUUUAGAGGGCAUCAACCCUAUCACUUGCAUUGUCUCUUUUGUUGUAUGCCUUUCCAGGUUUUUGCUACUGCACCGUUUACUACAUGCUGACCAGGUUCGGGGUGACAUCCCUUGGGAUCCCGGUGGAGUCAGAGCAUGGUGAUGAGGAGAAGCAAUGGGGCACACAUAUGGAAGAGAGAAGCUGGAGUUUGCAAGUGCAAGCAAAAGGAGAAGAGCUGCAGCUCAGAGAGUGAUUGUGCGAGACCAUCAAAGCCCGGUGAGUUGUUUCAUGACCCAUUCUGAAUAUCAUAAAUACAUGCUGAAUUCAAUUACUAGUUGGGUUGCUUGAGCCAGUUAUUACUUGUUGUCAAGUUGAAAUUUUACCUUUGGCAUAUGAUGCUUGAUGUGAAAAUGUUAACUGAUUGUUGAAUGCCUUGUAAACUAGUGAUCUACACAAUGCUUGCUUUGCUGAAAGUAGUGAAGGCUAUUAGUUUUGAGUGCUCAAAUCCCUAGUACACUAGAAAACUUAAUCAUUUUUUGCUUUUAUCUUGAUACAUCUAGAUCAUUAAGUGUCAGAUGAUGAGUUUGUGCCUAAUGUGUUCCCACUCAGAGCAAUCACUCACCACUAUGGACUAGCAUGCUAUGUUCCCUGGAUUGGUAGUAUGUGAACCAGACUUGGAUGAGUGAUGAUUCUUGUUUCCUUUUUGUAUUCAUUUGUUAAAUAAGUAAUAAUGAAUAAAUAAGUCUGACUACUGACAGUAGCAUGUCAUGUUCCCUGGAUCGGUGGCAUGUGAAAUCGGGUUAGCUUGGGCAAUAAUUAAUAAUAAAAAUGUAAUUGUCGAACCAGUUGUAUACCAUGUUCUCUGGAUCGGUGAUAUGUUCCUUUGUGGAGACAAACAAAAAAAUACUAAUAAUUGGUCGAGCCAGGUGUAUACCAUGUUCUCGGGAUCGGUGGUAUGUUCUUUUGGUGAGACCGACAAAAUAUUAUCAUUGCUUCCUUCAAAUUCAAUAAGUGGUUCGACCACAAUGUUGUGUUCCUGACAGUAAUUGUUUCUCGGGAUCAUGCUCUCUCUAGGAACCUUUUGGCACAAUCAGCAUUUGAACUUGUUGAUCCACUUUUAUCACUGUAAAAGUUUAAAAUGAUUGACUUUACUAGUAGUAUCCUAUUGCUUUAUAGCACUCUUAACCAUUAAUUUUCACUAGCUAAGUCCGAAACAUGCCUUGUUUGGGGAUUUAUUUUACCAGGACAUUCUUUACUCAGCUCACUGUUCAUAUUCUUGCUCUUGUCAUAUACCUUUGCUUGAGGACAAGCAAAGAUUUUAGUGUGGGGGAACUUCAUAAGCACAUUUCAUACAUAUAAUUUUGACACAAAAAUUCACCAUUUCUUGAGAUGUGUCCAUCUAUUCUUGCUGAGAAUUGUCGAAUAUUCUAUUGAUAAUCAUAAAAGAGAUUGUGACUAGUCGUUUGUUUAUUUUGAAGAAAAGUGCGACAAGGCACUAUAAACUUGAAGAUUUUGCCUACAAAGAAAGAGGAUACAAGACCGAGGGCUAAUAGAAGAGAAGGUUGGACUUGAGUAUGAAGAAUGAAAGAAUCGGAGGGCCAAAACUAAAGAAGAAAGGGAUCUACUUUAGGCAAAAGAAGAGAAGAAGCAGGGCAAAAGUGCAAAAUGGCAGAUCAGGGAGGGAUCAAAAUCCCUAGCCGCACCUCUUUGCAACGGGGUCCUGGCACACUUCUCUCUCCCUCACCCCUCCUUCACCACCGGCCGCCGCCGCGGCCAGGCCGGCGUGGCGGUGUGCCACCCAGCCAUCCAUCCACUCCGCCUCCACCAACGCCUCCUUCCUCCAACACCAUCCAGCACCAUCACGAGUUCACCACCUCUCCCCUCGCUGCACCCCUGCUGUCGUCUUCCCGAACCUUUGCAGCUCCUCUCCUCCAAUCUGAACUCUUCUGCCAUUCCCUGUGAUCCUUGCUGUUGCUCCAUACCCAUCGACUGACCAAGGACGUGAAGCCCUUCUUCUUCCCAUUGCUGCUGCGGCUGCCUCCUCUCCGUCGCGUCUCCCUUAGCGCUGUUGCUGCCCUCUGGUUACAACUGCUACUGCUACUCUUCUACAACCUGUGCUUUGCUGCUAGUCUCUCUCCAACGGCCCAACUGCUGCUGCUCUCUCCUCACGCCCCCUGCUGCUGCUCCUUUCCCU
rnacentral:rRNA from 1 species